UUAAACAUAAACAGGACGGAGAACUUAUCAGACAUACCAGACCAAGGAAAGAAUGGAACUCCUUCAUCUGGAGCCCAUAAAGUGAUGGACACCUGACACUGUGUUGGCAUGGCUCCCACACCAACCUAUCAUCUGAUACCUGGGAUAGAAAAAGGAGAUUCAUGCCACAGGCAUCUGAGAUGAGGUGUGACUGCUCAGGACCUGGAAGAGCAGACAGAAGCGGCUCAUGCAGGAGGAAAGAAGCCUGGAGGCUUUGGAGCUGGAGCUGCAAGACUAUCUUCUGGAAAUGAGGGAAGAGACUCAGAUACCUAAUUAUCCUGCAGGUGCCCUCUCUCCCAUCUUCAACAAAGCCUCCAAAGCAUGCUGCUUAUCAUCAUUGCUGGAACUGAAAAAGAGAAUGGAGGAGAGUAAUCAAGGACUGCCACUUGUUUUCAUGAAUGCCACAGUCAAGAAGUUAUUUCUGCCAUGCAGAGGUCAGAAAAAUCUCAGAGCCACCCUUGCUGUUAGUAUGAAUGCCCCAA
rnacentral:sRNA from 1 species